ACUGAGACGCCUGGGAUCUCAAAAUGGCGGCCCCGUGCGGAAACAGCGUCUGGGAGCAGUCAUGUUGCCUCCUGAACAAAGCCGCUGAAGAUGAAGAAUGGGCAAAAUCGCCCCAUACGGAACAGCGCAGCCUCGGGAGCCCGUUACCUGGCUCGCGAACACGAAGCGGGAGAGUUCGCCAAUAUGGAUGUGACAGCGGUUCCCAUUAAGCGACCUGAUUCCUCAGACCUCUGCCCUAUCGGAAGGGAAGCAGAAAAUGAUCAGGUCUCAGGGUCCAGUGUCAUUUGAGGAUGUGGCUGUGGAUUUCACCCAGGAGGAGUGGCAGCAACUGGACUAUGCUCAGAGGACCCUGUACAGGGAUGUGAUGCUGGAGAUCUAUAGCCACCUGGUCUCAAUGGGAUAUCCAGUUUCCAAACCAGAUGUCAUCUCCAAGUUGGAACAAGGAGAAGAGCCAUGGAUCAUAAAGAGACACAUACCAAAUUGGAUCUAUCCAGGUGAAAAUGUGGCAGAUGGGAGACAAGAAAAAUAAAUGCUCAGUUGCUUUA
ensembl:lncRNA ZNF300P1 zinc finger protein 300 pseudogene 1